AUUGAACGCUGGCGGCAGGCCUAACACAUGCAAGUCGAACGAGUGGCGGACGGGUGAGUAAUAGCUGUGAGACUGCCCGAUGGAGGGGGAUAACUACAGGGAACGGUAGCUAAGACCGCAUACCAACGCAUCUGCGCAGGUGGGAUUAGCUAGUAGGUGGGGUAACGGCUCACCUAGGCGACGAUCCCUAGCUGGUCUGAGAGGAUGACCAGCCACACUGGAACUGAGACACGGUCCAGACUCCUACGGGAGGCAGCAGUGGGGAAUAUUGCACAAUGGGCGCAAGCCUGAUGCAGCCAUGCCGCGUGUAUGAAGAAGGCCUUCGGGUUGUAAAGUACUUUCAGCGGGGAGGCGUUACUCGCAGAAGAAGCACCGGCUAACUCCGUGCCAGCAGCCGCGGUAAUAC
rnacentral:rRNA from 1 species